rnacentral:sRNA from 1 species
AUACAGAGUAACAUGGUUAUUUGGUUUCUUGUGCUCUUUUCUCUUCUCUUUAGAAAAGAGAGCCUAGAAAAUAAAAAGAACAACAAACCAGAAGUCAACCAGAUAGCCAACAGUGACAACAAGGUUACAAUUGAUGACUAUAGAGAAGAGGAUGAAGACAAGGACCCCUACCCGCCUUGCGAUGUGCCAGGAUCCGCGUAGGCUGCCACAAGCUCAUCAACCACCACAUCUUCACCAACCUCAUCCUCGUCUUCAUCAUGCUGAGCAGCGCUGCCCUGGCCGCAGAGGACCCCAUCCGCAGCCACUCCUUCCGGAACACAAUACUGGGUUACUUUGACUAUGCCUUCACAGCCAUCUUUACUGUUGAGAUCCUGUUGAAGAUGACAACUUUUGGAGCUUUCCUCCACAAAGGGGCCUUCUGCAGGAACUACUUCAAUUUGCUGGAUAUGCUGGUGGUUGGGGUGUCUCUGGUGUCAUUUGGGAUUCAAUCCAGUGCCAUCUCCGUUGUGAAGAUUCUGAGGGUCUUAAGGGUCCUGCGGCCCCUCAGGGCCAUCAACAGAGCAAAAGGACUUAAGCACGUGGUCCAGUGCGUCUUCGUGGCCAUCCGGACCAUCGGCAACAUCAUGAUCGUCACCACCCUCCUCCAGUUCAUGUUUGCCUGUAUCGGGGUCCAGUUGUUCAAGGGGAAGUUUUAUCGCUGUACAGAUGAA